rnacentral:lncRNA from 1 species
CCACAAAAGAUUGCUCGCCCCGUCAUGUGGUCCAUCUCUGUGUAACGAGAGAUACAUAGAUGUGUGUGGCUAUUCUGUAUUUGAUAGCAAGCGGAAUGUUCAUUACUAAUGGAAGUGAGGAGUCAUGAUUUGUUUGACAGCCCAGCACGCAGUACUCGCAGCAGACACUGAUCUCAGUGGGUUUUGUAUGUUGUAGUACUGCCAGAUCUGUCGAAAGGGAGACAAUGAGGAACUGCUGCUACUCUGUGACGGCUGUGACAAAGGCUGCCAUACCUACUGCCACAGGCCCAAGAUUACAACUAUUCCUGACGGGGACUGGUUUUGUCCAGCUUGCAUCGCUAAGGCAAGCGGUCAGAGUAUAAAAAUUAAAAAAAUUCAUAUCAAAGGAAA